rnacentral:rRNA from 1 species
CAGUCGCCGCGGUAAUACGAAGGGUGCAAGCGUUAAUCGGAAUUACUGGGCGUAAAGCGCGCGUAGGUGGUUCAUUAAGUUGGAUGUGAAAGCCCUGGGCUCAACCUGGGAACUGCAUCCAAAACUGGUGAGCUAGAGUACGGUAGAGGGUAGUGGAAUUUCCUGUGUAGCGGUGAAAUGCGUAGAUAUAGGAAGGAACACCAGUGGCGAAGGCGACUACCUGGACUGAUACUGACACUGAGGUGCGAAAGCGUGGGGAGCAAACAGGAUUAGAUACCCCCGUAGUCCCUGUCUCUUAUAU